rnacentral:rRNA from 1 species
UACGAAGGGGGCUAGCGUUGCUCGGAAUCACUGGGCGUAAAGGGUGCGUAGGCGGGUCUUUAAGUCAGGGGUGAAAUCCUGGAGCUCAACUCCAGAACUGCCUUUGAUACUGAAGAUCUUGAGUUCGGGAGAGGUGAGUGGAACUGCGAGUGUAGAGGUGAAAUUCGUAGAUAUUCGCAAGAACACCAGUGGCGAAGGCGGCUCACUGGCCCGAUACUGACGCUGAGGCACGAAAGCGUGGGGA